GGCGGUGGGGGAGGGCAG
rnacentral:misc_RNA from 1 species